rnacentral:rRNA from 1 species
UACGAAGGGAGCUAGCGUUGUUCGGAAUUACUGGGCGUAAAGGGCGCGUAGGCGGGUUUCCAAGUCGGGGGUGAAAUCUCGGAGCUUAACUCCGAAACUGCAUUCGAUACUGCCGUGCUUGAGGACUGGAGAGGAGACUGGAAUUUACGGUGUAGCGGUGAAAUGCGUAGAUAUCGUAAGGAAGACCAGUGGCGAAGGCGGGUCUCUGGACAGUUCCUGACGCUGAGGCACGAAGGUCAGGGGAGCAAACGGG